CCACAGUGAUCGGUCGGUGGCGGGAGAUUCCAGCAUGGCGGUGCAGCCGAAGCAAAACCUUUCCAUGGACAGUGCAGCCGAGAGUGGCUUCUUAAACUUCAUCUUCUCCAUGCCGGAGAAACCAGACACCACUUUCAGAGUAUUCGACCGCAACGACUACUACACUGUCCACGGCAAAGACGCCACAUUUGCGGCGAAGGAAGUGUUCAAGACUAAUGCCGUCAUCAAACAGUUGGGCUCAGGGAGUCGCAAGCUGGAGAGUGUCGUCCUGAGCAAGCUGAACUUUGAGGCUUUUGUUAAAGACUUGCUGCUGGUGAGGCAGUACAGAGUUGAGGUGUACAGGAACCAUGGCAAGAGUAGCAAGGAUCAUGAUUGGAGGAUUGAGUUCAAGGCCUCCCCAGGAAACCUAACUCAGUUUGAGGAGAUUCUGUUUGGUGGGGGAACUGGAGCAGAGAGCUGUGCAGGAGUUGUCGCUGUGCGUGCCACUACAGCAGGUGAUGGACAGCGCAUGGUCGGUGUCGGCUACGUCGACGCAGCACAGAGGUCGAUGGGAGUGUGUGAGUUUCCAGACAAUGAGAUCUUCUCCAACCUGGAGUCCCUGCUCGUCCAACUCGGCCCCAAAGAGUGUCUCUUGGCUCAGGGUGAAGGCAGCGCUGACAGUAAACUACGACAGGUGGUGGAGCGCGGCGGCCUGCUGGUCUCUGACAGGAAGAGGGCAGAGUUCAGUAGCAAGGACAUGGUGCAGGAUCUCAACCGGCUGUUGAGAUCCAAGAAAGGAGAGACUGCUGCCAGCAACACACUACCAGAGCUGGACAAACAGGUGGCUAUGUCAUGCUUGGCCGCUGUCGUGCGCUUCCUCGAACUGCUCUCUGACGAGUCCAACUUCAACUCCUUCAGCCUGACGACGCUGGACCUGGGUCAGUACAUGAGGCUGGACAACGCCGCAGUGAGGGCCCUUAACCUCUUCCAGGCUUCUCCUGAUGAGAGCAGCAGAGCACAUUCGUUGGCUGGUCUGUUGAACAAGUGCCGUACACCCCAGGGUCAGCGGCUGGUCAACCAGUGGAUCAAACAACCCCUCAUGGACAAACCCAAAAUAGAGGAGAGGCUGGACCUUGUCGAGAGCUUUGUGUGUGACUCGGAGCUCAGGCACACCUGUCAGGAGGACCUGCUGCGGCGGUUUCCUGAUCUUCACCGCCUGGCCAAGAAGUUCCACCGUCACAGUGCAACACUGCAGGACUGUUACCGCGUCUACCAGGCCGUGAACCAGAUCCCUGCCCUCAUCACGGCUUUAGAGAGCUACUCGGGCAGCUACCAGGUUCUGUUGGAGGCAGCGUUCAUUUCCCCUCUCAGAGACCUGCAGGCUGAUUUCACCAAGUACCAGGAAAUGAUUGAAACCACUCUGGACAUGAACCAGAUUGACCACCACGAAUACCUGGUGAAGGCUUCGUUUGAUGCCGUGCUGAGUGAGCUUAGAGAAAAGAUGGAUGAGCUGGACAAGAGUAUGCAGGCGGUGCUGAACAGUGCAGCCAGAGAGCUAGGUCUAGAUGCUGGUAAAACGGUGAAGUUGGAGUCGAACGCCAUGCUGGGUUUUUAUCUGAGAGUCACCUGCAAGGCAGAGAAAGGUCUGAGGAACAACAAGAAAUUCACCAUGCUGGACGUUCAGAAGAACGGAGUGCGUUUCACAAACAGUAAACUGAGUUCACUGAACGAGGAGUACAUCAAGAGCAGGGAGGAGUAUGAGGAGGCCCAGAACGCCAUCGUUAAAGAGAUCAUCACCAUUGCCUCAGGUUACGUGGACCCCCUACAGUCGCUGAGCGGUGUGAUAGCGCACCUGGACGCGGUGGCGAGUUUUGCCGUCGCGUCCGUCUCGGCUCCUGUGCCGUACGUCCGGCCUCGCCUCUUGAAUGACGGCUGCAGGCGCGUGGAGCUGCUGCAGGCCAGACAUCCCUGCAUGGAGAAUGACCCAGACACCAGCUUCAUACCCAACGACAUCAGCUUCACCCAGGGAGAGAAGAACUUCUAUAUCAUAACGGGACCAAAUAUGGGCGGCAAGUCGACAUUUAUCCGGCAGGUGGGUGUGAUCGCGCUGAUGGCUCAGAUUGGCUGCUUUGUGCCGUGCGAGAAGGCGGAGCUUAGUGUGUUUGACAGCAUCCUGGCCAGGGUGGGAGCCGGGGACAGUCAGUUGAAAGGCGUGUCCACCUUCAUGUCAGAGAUGUUGGAAAUCGCCGCCAUUCUACGCUCGGCCACGGAGACGUCGCUGAUCAUAAUCGACGAGCUCGGCAGAGGCACGUCCACAUACGAUGGCUUCGGUCUGGCCUGGGCCAUCAGUGAACACAUCGCCUCCAAGAUCAGCUGCUUCUGCCUUUUUGCCACGCACUUCCACGAGCUGACUGCACUGGCAGCACAGGAGUCCACGGUCCACAACCUGCACGUCACGGCCCUGACCUCCCAUGACACGCUGACCAUGCUGUACAGAGUCAAAGCAGCUGCAGAGAUUUAACACACACCUGGCAGGUCGUGGCUCUUACCGGACACUCGUGCCCGCUUGGCUCGAUGGCCAAAGGCCUCUGUUGAUGAAGUGGACGUUCCCUGAAAAAGAGGCCUCACCUCCAUUGGGCUCUUGCUGGGGCAGGCAGAGGCGGUGGCAGAGGCAGCAGCGGUUCUUUUAGGAAGCAGGGUUUUGCGUCGAAGCUGGUAGGGACUGUUCUGAGCUCCUGGUCCGGACUCCUCAAUGGCCAUCUCUGCUGCAGCAGCUGCAGGAGCCUCCUCAUCUGUUCACGAGGGUGCAUGUUCAUGCAAAAACUCCAGGCUGUCCACAUCUUAAUGCUGGCCCCCACUGCUCCACCCUCCUCCCCCUCCUGGCCUUGAGAUUCCUUCAAAAUGCUUUAAUGGCAAAAACAACAGAUGCCAAACAGAAGAGGAAGUUGUGACAAAAUAACUUACAUUUCAACAAGGAGAAACUGGGCAGCAGUGGCUCAGCAGGUAAACAUCUGCAGUGGCUACGACAACUUUUUUAAAUCUAACAUUUGACUCGGAAUGUUGCUGGAGUGUGUUGUUAAGCGUUUGUGUACUCACAGGUGUUGGAUGCUGCUGGAGAUGUUAGAAGGAAUCUCUGUGGCCCAAGCUCUCAGGCGGUAGCUGUUCACAGUUCGUUUAGCCAAGCUGGCCUCAAAUCCAGCUUCACUGUCCACUUCUGAACCUGGCACUGAAGCUAUUGCCCCGUUUACCACCAUGAGCAUUAUCAUUAACCGUGUCCCCCUCAUCAUCUAAGGAGUAUCUUAACUUUUCUGAUCUCAACCAGCAUGGAUUAGGGCUUUGAUGAAACACCCAUCAAAGCCUAGACUCCUCGUUUGAUACGAAAGUUUAUCGGUCUAUCCUCUCUAGGUUCCCUGCCAGGUCGAAGAGAGAAGAUGUGAGAGGUGCUGUAGUGCUUCCUGUCAUGCAGUGGUUCACGGUGGGGGCGUGUGAAAAGCUUUAUGUGUGUAUGCGGAGGUAGGAGGUCUCUAUCUCUAUGGGUGUGUUCCUGAUUUCACAAAAUACAAACUCUGCCCAAAAUCACUUAAAAACAUCCACAAGCACAUCGUUUCUUCAUCUUAUCCUAAUUCUGCUUGAAUCAACAACUUGAAUAUAAACAAAAUAAACUUAGACGUUUUUUAAGCA